AGACACGAGUUUGAUCAUGGUCAGGAUGAACGCUGGCGGCGUGCUUAACUACAUGCAAGUCGAACGAAGCACUUAAUGAGAUUUCUUCGGAUUGAUUAUUUUGUGACUGAGUGGCGGACGGGUGAGUAACGCGUGGGUAACCCUGCCCCAGACCGGGGGAUAACAGUCGGAAACGACUGCUAAUACCGCAUAAGCGCACAGUGCCGCAUGGCACGGUGUGAAAAACUCCGGUGGUCUGGGAUGGACCCGCGUCCGAUUAGCUAGUUGGUGAGGUAACGGCCCACCAAGGCGACGAUCGGUAGCCGGACUGAGAGGUUGAACGGCCACAUUGGGACUGAGACACGGCCCAGACUCCUACGGGAGGCAGCAGUGGGGAAUAUUGCACAAUGGGGGAAACCCUGAUGCAGCGACGCCGCGUGGAGGAAGAAGGUCUUCGGAUUGUAAACUCCUGUUGUUGAGGAAGAUAAUGACGGUACUCAACAAGGAAGUGACGGCUAACUACGUG
rnacentral:rRNA from 1 species